CUUGAUGGAGCCCAACCACAGGGGCUCGCCGGCUCGUUCCUGGCCGUAGGUGGCCAGCAGGGCGUGCGCCUC
rnacentral:antisense_RNA from 1 species